rnacentral:snoRNA from 1 species
AGUGCACAUUGUUAGAGCUUAAAGUUGAGGCCAUUGACUGGCCGAUGAACUUACAAGUAGAGAUCACGUUCAGGGGCAAUUUUUUCACUAACACCACAAGGGUCUCUGGCCAAUGAGUGGAGUCUGAUAGUAAUCUUUGUUACAAGU